rnacentral:rRNA from 1 species
CAGCCGCCACGGGAAUACGAAGGGGGCUAGCGUUGUUCGGAAUUACUGGGCGUAAAGCGCACGUAGGCGGAUAUUUAAGUCAGGGGUGAAAUCCCAGAGCUCAACUCUGGAACUGCCUUUGAUACUGGGUAUCUUGAGUAUGGAGGAGGUGAGUGGAAUUCCGAGUGUAGAGGUGAAAUUCGUAGAUAUUCGGAGGAACACCAGUGGCGAAGGCGGCUCACUGGUCCAUUACUGACGCUGAGGUGCGAAAGCGUGGGGAGCAAACAGGAUUAGAUACCCCGGUAGUCCCUGUCUCUUAUAC